rnacentral:lncRNA from 1 species
UCAGGGGUUUGUUUUUGGUCGCCAUAGGCUGUGAUGGAGACAGGACCAGAGUAGCCUUGUUCCUUGAAGGCACCUUCUAUACUCGGACGGACACGAUGAUCAUCAAUACCCUCUGGAACCGGACAGUCCUUCAUGUCCCACCACACCGCUAUUUUGCCUGUCUUCGCCGCAUCGUUCUUCCCACUCAUCUUCUCUAAAGGUUAACAAAUUUCAGACACAAGUCCUCUACCACCCGUACUAGGGUUUCUUUUUAAGUUUGUUAUUUUUUUCUUUUACGUUCAAACUACUGGGGCUAAAUCUAAAGACAGAUUAUGGAAAAGAACAAAAAAAGGAAGGAAAAAAUUGUAAUAUAUUAAGAAAGGAAAAGUAGUCAUAUUUAUAAAUUCUCAUUUACAAAAGCACCUUUUUAAUAUAAGAUAUUUUCUUUUAAAAAGACGAAGAUAUUUAUAUCUUUAAAAGGGAUUAUAAAACGAACAAAAAGAGGAAAAAGAUUGUCAUCGUAAAAAAUGAAAAUUCAUAUUUAUAAAUUAUCAAAUUACACACCACAGCACACUUUUCAGAUUUCAAAUUAUCAAAAUGUUCAACCAAAUUUUUUUUAUCACCGCACAUGCAUGCUACGUUUUAAAAAAAAAUGUUUUUUACGUAAUCGGUUGAUUAGUCAAUUUUCUGUCUUGGUAUUAUAUGGAUCAGCUAACGCUUGAAUGUCUAUUUUUCUUUAAGUAUAAAUUUUAAGUUGAUUUUCUAUUUUUAAGUACUUACAUAAUUUUUUCAAAAAAAUAAAAAAGAAUUUACAUAGUAAAUAGUAAAAUUUGAUAUGCCCGAAAUAUUACAUUCAAAGCUCACGUAAUAAAAUUAUUUUGUAUUGUAUAAAAACAUUUAGAAUUUAGAAUUAUCGAUUUAAUUUGCAAACUCAUGUCUUAUCUUUCGUUAGUUGCAUAGACUAGUGUUUAGUGCAAGAGAGAGCUUUACUGCAUGGUGAUGGAUAUAUUCGCUUAUGUUUAUUUUUAUACCUGGGGGAGAAAAACUAAGAUGCCAUUCAUUCCAUGUUCUGCACUUCUGCAUACUUUGCGGUUAUUGGAGUAACUUAAAGUGGUUUUGUGUGCGAUGACGGACAGGAACUAAAAUUGACUUUGUGUGUAACGAUGGACAGACUUGGCCAUUCUGUAAAUGAUUCACUGUUAGCUGGAGACAAUGACCCGGUUUUUCAACUAUGCAAUCUUAUAAGUCCAUAGUUUAGUGUGUUUUUCGUCCAUCUGUGUUAUGAUAAAGUCUACUAACAAAUGUCUCUCUUAGUAUUAUCAUCUUUCUCCAUAUUAACACUUCUUUACAGAUCUCAUGAAGGGUUCGCAUAUCUUGUUUCCUUGGAGUUCUCCGACAUGGACCAACGGUUGAUUAUUAAGAGACCUGCUACAACUGAAGCAAAAUUGUCAUUUGAGCAUUUACAGA